AUGGCUGCACCAACUUUACGAGUCACUACCAUGCAUAUCAAUUCGGCCAUUCUUGCUGCAAAAAGCCCUUUCUUUUUCAAGCUUUUCUCAAACGGCAUGAAAGAGUCUGACAAGGGACAGGCAACACUUCGAAUAGCUGAUUCAGAGGAAAAUGCCUUCAUGGAGCUUUUGUACUUUAUGUAUAGUGGAAAGUUGACACCAACAACUGAGCCCACUCAUCUGGUUGAUAUCUUGAUGGCCGCUGACAAAUUUGAGAUCUACCAUAUUCCAUUUCAAUGGCACCUGCCCUGGCAGUGGCAGCCAAGAAAUUCUUUGCUGAAAGAUACAAGGAUUUCCUGUCAACAAAGUUACAAGACGAACUGA
rnacentral:rRNA from 1 species